rnacentral:snoRNA from 1 species
AACCCAUGGUGAGGACACCUUCUCAAUAGGUCCUUGUAUCUCUCCCACGCAUCAUAGAGUGUCUCUAAAUCCAUCUGCACAAAAGAAGAGAUAUCGUUCCUCAAUUU